CGAGGUGUAGCUCAGCUUGGUAGAGCGCCUGCUUUGGGAGCAGGAUGUCGUCGGUUCGAAUCCGGCCACCUCGACUA
rnacentral:tRNA from 1 species